UAGCUACUAAUUGAGCUUUAUAUUUAUCAAUAGAUCAACUAGUAAAUACUUUAUUUUUAUGCACCAAGAGGUAAAUUAAUUAAAAUUCAUGUAUUAUUGAUGAGUGGUGAAUCUACCACUCAAUCAUACUCCACAUUCGUGCUAUUACCAUAUUUUGAAUGAAUAAGUAAGACAUAAUUUGUGAUUAAAUGCACUAAUAUUCAUAUUUUG
rnacentral:lncRNA from 1 species